CUUUAUGACAUAUAGACCAUCAGAGCCAGGAGGGAGCCUAAAUCAGGAGGCUCACCCUGGAGACGCCCUGGCCACAAGCAGCCCCAAAACUCCAGAGCCCAAGAGGAAUCAGAUUAAAAUGGUCUCUCCUGCCACCUUGUGGACAGAAGCGAACACCAAAAGCUCUUCAGCCCUUUCCACCGGGGAGCAUCACCUGUUUCAAAAGCAAUCACAGGACUAUCGAAUGCAUAACCUACAAGAGGAUCCUCUCUGGAAGUGUCCCUACAACCAACCAAAGGAAGUCCCUUCUACAGGUGAGGAUGUCCUUUGGAGUAUCAGAAGUACCUGGAAGACAGACCAGAAUCUACCAGAAUCCUAGAACUGGAAGGGAUCUCCAAGGCCUCUAGUCCAAUUCACAAAAGAACCAGAAUCGUCUUGAAAACAUGCCUGACAAGAGGUCACUCAAGUUCUGUAUGAAGACCUCCAAAGAAGGAACUCACCACCUCCUGGGUCAGAUCAUCAUGCCUUUGGAGAACUCUCAUCAUUAGGAACCUUAUUCUAACAUCAGAUCCAAAUUUACUUCUUUGGAGCUGUCCCUCUGCUCCACAGUGUCCUUCUAGAACCCAUGGGAGUAGGGCUACUCCCUCUUUCUAGGGACAGUGCAUCCAACACUUGGAAUCAAGGAUCAAGGAAUCGAUGAUACUAAGCAUCACCUGUAAAAUGGGCACAUUGUCCUAAGUGAGAUCUAAAGAGCCUCCUAGCUCUAAAUCUUUGGGCUCCUACAGAUCAAGACAUCUGACCUACGUCACACCUCUAGUCCUGGAGAACUCUCAGUCCCACCCCCAUUAUCUUAUCUGGUCUUUGACACAGCCCCCAGGAGGUAGACAAUACGUGUGUCAUUGUUAAUCAUUUGUUUUUUUUUAAUUAUAUGAUUCUUUUAUUGAUAGUGGUAAUGACUAGCACUUCGAGUGUCGGACUUGGAAUCAGGAAGAUCUAAAUUCAAAUCCUGCCUCAGACAUUUUGCUAGAACCCUAGUCAAAUCAUUUAACUUUUCCAACUUCAGCUUUUUCAUCUGUAAAAUGAGGAUAAUAAUUACACUUCCCUCACCAGGUUGGUUGUACCAAAUGAGAUACUUUGUAAAAUGGAAACAAGGAGAAUAACACAUCUAACUUUCACAGUGAAUUUCUUUUGAGAGUAGAAACAAACGAACAUUAAGGUGUUGAUAAACCAAUGUCCAGACACCAUGCAACCAUUGAAAGGGACUUUCAGGCAUUUUUCAAUCCAAUGGGACCAAUUGUUUUUUUGGCACAAGUACUGGAGUGAUUUGCCAUUUCCUUCUCCUGAUCAUUAUUUUAAACCCUUACCUUCCGUCUUGGAGU
ensembl:lncRNA